GUACAUAACUUCCUUUAUGCACCAAGCUUUGCGUGGAGAUAGAGACCAUGUUGAGUGAACCAAAAGGCUCUUCUACACAAACUAUGCUUGCCCACGAGCAACUUUCAAUUUACGACUUGCUCUCUAAAACAGAACAUUUUUGAUUGGCUUGGUUGGAAAAGAAAUCCUAAAGGUUGGGCCAACGAAACAAAGUGGAUCAUUCAAGAAAUCAAGAAAAAAGAUUGGAGAAGAAAUAGUAGAAACCACAUAUGAUAUUUGAAGAGGUAGAAAUAAUUGUUCUUUUACAAUAUCAAUGAAGCAUUUAUUAUUAUUUUUCCA